rnacentral:rRNA from 1 species
AUUGAACGCUGGCGGCAUGCUUUACACAUGCAAGUCGAACGGCAGCGCGAGCUUCGGCCUGGCCGCGUGUGGCGGACGGGUGAGUAAUUCAUCGGAACGUGCCCCGUAGUGGGGGAUAGGCUCACGACAGCCAGAUUAAUACCGCAUCCGACCAGAUGGUGAAAGAGGGGGAUCGAAAGUCCACGCGCUAUUGGAUCCGCCGAUGACGGAUUAGCUAGUUGGUGGGGUAAAGGCUUACCAAGGCGACGAUCCGUAGCUGGUCUGAGAGGACGACCAGCCACACUGGGACUGAGACACGGCCCAGACUCCUACGGGAGGCAGCAGUAGGGAAUUUUGGACAAUGGGGGCAACCCUGAUCCAGCCAUGCCGCGUGCGGGAAGAAGGCCUUCGGGUUGUAAACCGCUUUUGUUCGGGAAGAAAUCCUCUGGGCUAAUACCCCGGGGGGAUGACGGUACCGGAAGAAUAAGCACCGGCUAACUACGUG